GGAUUUCUGAGAAGUCCCCGGAGGGAGAGAGAACGAGACAGAGAACCCGACGAGAGGGAGGCUGAACUCCCUACUCACCCAGACAUUGGUGACCGGUGUGGAUGUGUAGCGUCAGCAAUGGCAAAGGUAGAAAGCCCCGGAGGGUCCUGGCAACGGCAGAUAGGUCCGUUGGAGAUGGCCAAAAGGUCAAUCAACCCCAACCCGACGAGAGGGAGGCUGAACUCCCUACUCACCCAGACAUUGGUGACCGGUGUGGAUGUGUAGCGUCAGCAAUGGCAAAGGUAGAAAGCCCCGGAGGGUCCUGGCAACGGCAGAUAGGUCCGUUGGAGAUGGCCAAAAGGUCAAUCAACCCCGUCCUGCGGGGGGAUCGUCCCUUAAUGGAC
rnacentral:lncRNA from 1 species